ensembl:rRNA 5S_rRNA 5S ribosomal RNA
GCUUACAGCCACACCACACUUAGCACGCCUGAUCUCGUACUAUCUCAGAAGAUAAGCAGUACUGGGCCUGGUAAGUACUUGGAUGGGAGACCAACUGGGAAUACCAGGUGCUGUAAACU